rnacentral:lncRNA from 1 species
UUUGAUUCUCCUUGGAUUGGCCAGCUUGCACGUCCCUUUCUAUUCUCUCUCUACCACGCGUCCAUCAUUAAAUCCACUCACGUUCUCUCCCAACGGAUUCCUCACUCCACUCAAUUCAUCAUCCUCCUCUCUCCAUUAUGUACAAACACACACUCCACACACACAAUUCCUGACCAUUCUCUCACAAAACUCACCUCAC